AUUGAACGCUGGCGGCAGGCCUAACACAUGCAAGUCGAACGAGUGGCGGACGGGUUAGUUAUGUCUGGGCAACUGCCCGAUGGAGGGGGAUAACUACUGGACACGGUAGCUACUACCGCAUAACAUAGGAUGUGCCCAGAUGGGAAUAGCUAGUUGGUGGGGUAACGGCUCACCGGGGCCACGAUCCCUAGCUGGUCUGAGAGGAUGACCAGCCACACUGGAACUGAGACACGGUCCAGACUCCUACGGGAGGCAGCAGUGGGGAAUAUUGCACAAUGGGCGCAAGCCUGAUGCAGCCAUGACGCGUGUAUGAAGAAGGCCUUCGGGUUGUAAAGUACUUUCAGCGGGGAGGCGUUACUCGCAGAAUAAGCACCGGCUAACUCCGUGCCAGCAGCCGCGGUAAUAC
rnacentral:rRNA from 1 species